rnacentral:rRNA from 1 species
UACGUAGGGUGCGAGCGUUAAUCGGAAUUACUGGGCGUAAAGCGUGCGCAGGCGGUUUUGUAAGGCAGAUGUGAAAGCCCCGGGCUUAACCUGGGAAUGGCAUUUGGGACUGCAAGGCUAGAGUGCGGCAGAGGAGACUGGAAUUCCUGGUGUAGCAGUGAAAUGCGUAGAUAUCAGGAGGAAUACCGAUGGCGAAGGCAGGUCUCUGGGCUGACACUGACGCUCAUGCACGAAAGCGUGGGGAGCGAACAGG